UACGUAGGUGGCAAGCGUUAUCCGGAAUUACUGGGCGUAAAGCGCGCGUAGGCGGUUUGUUAAGUCAGAUGUGAAAGCCCACGGCUCAACCGGGGAAGGUCAUUGGAAACUGGCAAGCUUGAGUGCAGAAGAGGAGAGUGGAAUUCCAGGUGUAGCGGUGAAAUGCGUAGAGAUAUGGAGGAACACCAGUGGCGAAGGCGGCUUCCUGGACUGUGACUGACGCUGAGGUGCGAAAGCGUGGGGAGCAAACAGG
rnacentral:rRNA from 1 species